UCACAUGAGCCACCUACAUCACACGGGCCGCCCACGCCGAGUGUGCCCCUCAUCUCACAAGCAACUCAACUCGAGCCCGAUGUGAAAAUCGUCCGUCCAUUUGGCAAGCUCGUUUAAAGGCGAGCUCAAAAAUAAGAUAGAUCCAAAGAUCAAGUAGACCACACUUCAGAAAGCAGUGGGAGAUUGAACGUCUGCCAUUGAAACUUUCUUGGGUCACUGAGGUUUUGGAUCAAUCUGAUAUUUGUUUUUCCUAUUCAUAUAGGUCUGUGUUACCUUAUGAAAAAUAAAUAUUAAGGUGGGCCGUACAAAUAUUUUAACGGUGGAAAUCAUUGUUCCCACUGCUAUUUAUGGUAUGUAGGACUCUACGUCCACGCAUGGCCCACCUAACGAAUGGACCAUCUCCAUCUUUUGCGGGGCCCACCAUUUCGAUGGUCUGAUGUCCCAUGCAACUGACUUUUCAGCUCAUGAUAAUCAGAAACGAGAUCGAGCCG